rnacentral:tRNA from 1 species
AAGGCUUUAGCUUAAUUAAAGUAUCUGUUUUGCAUACAGGUGAUGUGGGUUAGUGUCCCGCAAGUCUUA